CCCAGCUCUGGGGGGUGAGGAACAAGCCCAGAGACCACCGGCAGUCCCUCCCCUUCCACAGCCCACAUCCACAUCCUGGCCAUGCUGCACACAAAGCCUGAGGAGCUGCAGCUGAGUCCCAAGGGGACAUCUGGUGACAUUACCAAGCCAGGGUGACAGCCCUGUCUCCCCAGGGAGGCCAAACGAGCAAAGGGAUGCACCAGAGGUCACGCACGGCUGAUGUUGGGCUUCCUCCACAACUGCCAGUCCGCAUUUCCACACCACAACCCACACGCUGGCUUCACAAGGUGGAGACCAGCAUUUCCACCAUGCAGCCGACGGGUAGGACAAACAAGGGGAAGGCAUCAACGGAGUGAGCUCUGCAACCUCCUCACCUCCUCCCUGUCCCCUCCGAGUCGUGCUUGCUCCCCUCUCAUGGUGAGGAGUCGCCGCAGCCCUUCCCAAGCACAGCAGCUGGGGAAGGCAGCACGCAGGAGCACGAGCCUGGAAAUGGAAUUCCUAAAUGUUUGGUACAGCUCUGCUGGCAGAUGAUGGCGGCAACAUGCAGAUUGUGUGCGGUGGGGGAUGUUUCUCCAGGAUCUACAAGCAGGGAAAGGGUAACUCACAAAAUCAUGAUUAUGUAAAAGCGCAGAGCUGGCUAUAAUCGAGAUUUCAAAGACAAGAAACACUCUGCACCCAGAGCUGCCACUGCACAUCCUCCCAGAACAGCAGCAUCGCAACGACUGCAACGACCGAGCGCCUUCCUCCUUCUUGCCUGCCAUGGAAGUCGCACCUAUUAACGUGCUGCUUAUUUGGGUGUGAGAUGGCUCCAUGUCAUCCGAGGCGCAGCCCGCGCUGCCAUGUCAGAAUUCCUGCCACAAAGACAGGCUUCCAGCUUCAUUCUUGCCCUCGGCUCACCAGCUGCUCCAAAGGAGGACGGAGCACUGCCCGUCCAUCCCUCCAGCUCAGGAUCACAAGGGCAGAGACCCCAGCACCCCAACACCAAGGCACCCAGUGCCACGGCCACCCCAAGACGUGCCUACAGCUCCCAGGCAGCGCCCGGCUCUGGGAAGGGCUGGCCCACAGCACAUCCCUGGCACUCGCCCCUUGUGCGAGGCACAGCCCGUUCCUCCAGAGAACAAACACCCAGGGACACCAGGGUUGCCUGCAUCCACUUCCCACCCAAAGGCAGGAGCAGCCCAGAGCCCGUGCCAGGCACAGAGACAAACGAGCGCUGUGCCACACUGGGGGGCCGAGAUGGGGGAGAUCAGAAAGCGCGAGCUUGCACCGUUCGCUGCGCCCAACACGGGAACGUCAUGUAAAUAUAAUGCCAAUAUAAAUCAGGCGGCAGAGCCAUCCAGCAACAUCACGCAGGGAGACGCUUCCCCAGCUCCAAGCCUCUCAUUUUGACCAGUGUGCUCUUCAUCAUGCCACUCGCCUCCCCUCUGCCUGGCUGCUCUCCCUCACACUGCCAGACCAUCUUGCUGCUCAACUCCCCGCUUGCCAACCACCUAUUUCUGUUUGUUUUUCAAGUGGGGGGAGAAAUAAUCAGCUACAGCCCAUCGAGGGAUUUCUAAACUUCAGGGGUCCCUUGGAUCGAAUGUUUAUCUGCUUUCAGUUUCUACUUGAGCUCUUGUUCUACAGCAGGAGCACGUUAAAAGGAUGUGCUUCGAUGCCCAGAAAUAUUAAGUAUCUGAAAGGUUUAUCAUGCAUUAAGCAAUUCAUUUUUUUAUCCUAUUAUUCUAAUGAAACUUCCAUUGUAUUGCUGUCCUCUCUUUGGAACCGCUUCAUGUUAACACUUUGCAUCACCAGGACUGUUCAACACUGAAGAUCUCUCUUUUUUUUUUUUUUUUUAAGAAAUAAAAUGUAAAAUGAGGCCA